AAGCUGAGGAUGGAUCAUCUGUCAGUCAUCAUUUGGAAUGUUACCGGGAAAGGCAGUUGGAGCCAAGCCAACUGCUGAACUGGGCUGAAGGUCUUUGGCUGAUGGUGAUGCUGUCUAGGUCUAGGAUCUUCUUCAGGUCCUUGGAGUCGGGCGAGUCAUUGCUGCCAAGUAUAGCCAAAAGAUGCCUUCCAACAGACCCAGCGGGAGCAGUAAGGGUGAGAAGCCCUCUUUUCUCUUCAUGGCUUGAUGAUGACUCUCCUUCCACCUAUUCAAAUCAUUUGUUUAUUCUCUAUGGAAUCCUUUGUUUCCAUUAUUAUUAAAAUAAAAUUGUUUUCUAUUAUGAAUUUUAUGAGCCUGGAAGUUUGAAGGGAACUAGUAACCAUUCUUGAUGGGGUGAAAGAGAUAAUGAAGUUCAUAGGUUUUACCUAGAAGAGGCAAAGAACCAGAGAGGUAAGAAGUUUUCAAAGUGUCCCCAGGCCCUUGAAGAGUCACAGAUCAAAACAACUCCCUCAUCUUAUAGAAGAAGAUGCUAAGGCUCAGUCAGAUUAAAUGAUUUGCCCAAGAUCACAUAGGAGGAAACUUCUGACACAAAGAUUAUAUUUUGUGUUCAACAUCACAGAUAGAAUCAUUAAGGAUGUUAAGAACCAUCUAGCCCCUCCAUUUUAAAGAUGAAGAAAAUGAAGACUAGUAUGUUUAAGCACCAAGUUUACUCAGGUAGUAAGUGGGAAAAUCCCUAGGCAGGAUGCAAUCCCAGGCCACCCAAAAUCAGUGAUCUUUCCACUAUGGAAUAGAGAAGCAGAGACAUUAAUAAUUAUAGGUUAGACAUGGAGAUGGCAAAGUAGUCAAAUGAACUAAUAUUUUUUAAAUGAUUUACAAGUGUAAAGGUAUUUUUAAGCAAUUAAAGUUUUAUUUCUUAUCAAAAUAAAAAGUAAAACAACAGAAAUAAAAGUAAAAAUUUUCUUGUGUCCUGUAUCACCAAAUUCUCCACUGCAAAGAAGGAUUAGUAAAUCGACUUCAAGAGAGUAAUUCAGUGGCUAGGAGAGAAGGAAAGAGAGUGUUUCAGAGAGAUUGCUAAGUUUCAUUGAAAAGAAUCUGUCCCUUCUUCACUAUGGACAACUGUGGGAAGGAAGUUCAGGAGGCCAAGGCAUAGAAUAAGGAGCUGAGUCAGAAUUAUUAAAGGGAAAAACCAAGAGGAUCCACUUGGAGAUAGGAAACCUUCAGGGAAAAAAGUCAAGUCUUUAAAUCAAAUGUUGAAGACAAGAAGACUUUUUGGAUUUUCCCCACACACACCCACAAACACUUUCUUUUACCCUUAGCCCACCAUGUCAGUUGAUCUUUCAGAGAUUUUGGAAGACCUACAACAAUAGAGAAUGGUGAGUCCAAGCCAAUAAGUGAUGAAGGCAUGAAUAAGUUUCUCAGACGAGGCAAGGUCAGUUUUUGGAGGCUAAACACAGAGGUGGGGGACCAUAAAGGCCGGGACGACGUGGGAAUAAUAAAGUCCAGGGUCAAAGAUGAUGCUAGAGUUUCUGGCCUGGGAAGAAGAGCACAAAUUGGAAUUUGGGAAGAGGAAGAGACAUGUCAGUGAGACAUUGGACAAAGAAGACUUGUUAAAUAGAAGGGAAACAAAAACCAAGGCUGAGUGACUCAGGCAUGACCCAAGUUGUUAAUAUCUUUCCAAAAGAUUCACCUGGUACUACAGCCAGAAAAAUAUGUCCCCAUAGACUGGGUAAAUCUGAAAUCGUAGAGUGAGUCCAUGGUAGGGAUGAGCAGUUUGUCUCCUUGGAGGAAUCUAAGAGAAAAAAAACACAAAGAACCAAAAAAAAAAAACCAACAAAAAACGCCUUAUCUGCAACUAAACCUCUUCAUUGUUGCCAUGAUGGAAACAAGAAGGAAUUAAAGGCAAAGCCUUCCCCUUUUUCAUAAUUCUUCUCUUGGUGAUUAGAUCUUGGCUCCUACAGGUACCUAAUGGUUUCCACAUUCUCUCUUUAUUCUGAAUGGGCCCUUUCCCUUAUCAGCCAUGGGAUUCUGAUAGCAGAAAGUGAAAAGGAGUGCAUAAGUCAUGUCAAGGGUCAAUAGUCAAAUUACUGGUCUUGCACCAUCAAGAGGGAGGAUAUCUAAAUUAAACUACACCCCAAGGAUCUCCUAUAGUACCCAAUUUCUCAGCCCCCACUACAGUCCCUCGCUCCAAAAUAUCCAGCAAGCUCUGCCACUCGUUUUCCAGAGCCAUGGUUCCUAUUUCUGCCAUUUAUCUUCUUAGCCCAUUUCUAUAUAUAAAACUUUGGAAACUUGUUUCAUUGGAAAAGGCUUUGACUCUAUCUGUCCCUGGAAAAAGCCCCCCCCCCCAACCCCUAGUUGAAGUUUUUCCCAACAAUUACUGGUCUCUCUCGGGCUUUUCUCUCUCUUCCCUCCCUAAUCAUUUCAUCUUCCUUGAUUCUUCUACUGUCUCCACCUUUCUUCUAUUUACUCUCUAGAAUGAUUUUUUAAACCUUUACCUUCUGUCUUAGAAUCAAUAUUGUGGGAACUAUGUCCUUAUCCCAAACUCAGACUAGGAUUCCCUAGGCUGGGGCUCCAGAUUUCUCCAAUGAAAUUGCAGGAACAGCAUGAGCUUAUGACUAGGGGAAUCCCAAAGACAAUAUGGCCCACUACAAUCAGGUAAUUUUCUUGAAACAAAUGUCGACUCCUCCAAGGUACAAGCUAUCAACCAUGCAAUUGCCCAUUACUGCACUAUGGAGUCUUGGUCAAAGAGAUUUAUUGGCUGACCCAAAAAAUGUCUCCAACUUAGUCCCCCAAAUCUGCAACAUGAUUUUCCACAAGACUGUGCCUACAUACAAUCAUUUGCCCCUAAUUUUUGGCCUUAAUGUACCUCAAGAAAGUAAGGAACCUUCAUAAAGAAGGCAUUGCUGAUGAAAUCACUUUUUCUUUUUUCCAGGACUGGGAGUUUGGUUUUAUUUUCUCCUCUAUGAUGUGGUUCUUCGCUGGAUAUUAGAACUAUCUACUUCAUUUAACUACACUGGCAGAAAUAAUCUUCACCCUCACACAUAUUUAUUUUAUUCUGAUUUCUAUCAAAGAUGCUAUGUUCACAAUUCCUGGGAGUUCAAAUUCCCCAAUAUUCCUAUGUUACAUCAAAAAGUCUCUCCAAUUUCUUUGUAAAAUCAUUGUUGAAAAAUAAAUUUAAUUGAUGUCUUUU